GCGAGUUUAGCUCAGUCGGGAGAGCGUCAGACUGAAGAUCUGAAGGUCCC
rnacentral:tRNA from 1 species